AACGAACGCUUGCGGCAGGCUUAACACAUGCAAGUCGAGCGCGUAGCAAUACGAGCGGCAGACGGGUGAGUAACGCGUGGGAACCUACCCUUUUCUACGGAAUAACGCAUGGAAACGUGUGCUAAUACCGUAUACGCCCGAGACCGGUGGACGGUUUUGGGGAAAGAUUGAUCGGAGAAGGAUGGGCCCGGGUUGGAUUAGUUAGUUGGUGGGGUAAAGGCCUACCAAGGCGACGAACCAUAGCGGGGCGGAGAGGAUGAUCAGCACCAUUGGGACUGAGCCCCGGAGCAAACUCCUACGGGAGGCAGCAGAGGGGAAUAUUGAACAAUGGGCGCAAUCCUGAUCCAGCCAUGCCGCGUGAGUGAUGAAGGCCAUAGGGUUGUAAAGCUCUUUCCCCGGCGAAGAUAAUGACGCUAUCCGGAGAAGAAGCCCCGGCUACUUCGUGCCAGCAGCCGCCGUAA
rnacentral:rRNA from 1 species